rnacentral:rRNA from 1 species
AUUGAACGCUGGCGGCAUGCCUUACACAUGCAAGUCGAACGGUAACACGCCGCAAGGUGCUGUCGAGUGGUGGCCGGGUGAGUAAUGCUUACGAAUGUGCCCCGUCCUUGUUGGUCACUACUCGCAAGAGUAGCUCAUACCUCAUACGAUCUAUUGUUUCAAACGGGGUACCGCAAGACCUCGCGAGAUUUUUGCUGCCGCUGUUAGAUUAGUUAGUUGGUGGGGUAAAGGCUCACCAAGGCAACGCUCUGUAGCUGUUCUGAGAGGACGAGCAGCCACACUGGAACUGAGACACGGCCCAGACUCCUACGGGAGGCAGCAGUGGGGAAUUUUGGACAAUGGGCGAAAGCCUGAUCCAGCAAUGCCGCGUGAGGGAAGAAGGCCUUCGGGUUGUAAACUGCUUUUGUAAGGAAAGAAAAGGCGCUGGUUAAUACCCGGGGGUAAUGACGGUACCGAAAGAAUAAGCAACGGCUAACUACGUG